rnacentral:lncRNA from 1 species
CUCAGUGAAUCUUACGGAUUAUAGGCCUUGCUAGAAUCCAGGAGAGAGGAAACUGGCCACAACUUACUGUAGAUUUCAUAACUUAUUGUAAGUUUUUGCCUGAUUGACUGAAAUAAUUUUGAAAGUCUGUAUAAAAUACGAUUUCGUCAUCAAGUAACACCGUCAUCCAAGCUUGGCACAUGCUUUAAGAGGGGGAAACAGAAGAGAGGGCGAGAAGGCAAGAUGGGUGGCUUAGUAGGAUCAGGUAGCGCCAGAGCUUGGCACCAAAGUUUCUAAUGAUUUCACGUGGAGGACCACUUGUGAUCCACCCUAGGAAGACUUGCCAGAACGUAGCGGUUUCUGCUACACAAUACAGUGCCUUCCAAUGAUGUUAUGUGUGAAUUGCAUGCAAUCUCAUGUAACCCUGGAAUAUAACAUGUAUGUGCAUGAUCUGUCCAGAAUGUGCAAAGCUAGGAUUCAGCAGAAAGGGCUGAGCCCUGUUGCUGAUGGGUCAGCAAGCUGCUGGAGUUGAACUUGUGACUUAGGCUUUUAGCCUUGGAUCCUGGGGUUUGCACUAAAAUGAUUUUGUCACCCAAUCAGAUCUGUCUCCCUUUUAGCUCCUUUCCUACUUUGCAGCUUUGCUGAUUUUAACUGCUUCAUUCUUCUGCUUCUUGGUAUCUUUCUUUUGAAAUAAAAAGACACAAUACCUAACCC